rfam:Danio rerio chromosome 12, GRCz11 reference primary assembly.
GGCGCUGUGGCUUAGUUGGUCAAAGCGCCUGUCUUGUAAACAGGACAUCCUGGGUUCAAAUCCCAGCAGUGCCU